rnacentral:rRNA from 1 species
AUUGAACGCUGGCGGCAGGCCUAACACAUGCAAGUCGAGCGAGCGGCGGACGGGUGAGUAAUGCCUGGGAAUUGCCCAGUCGAGGGGGAUAACAGUAGGAAACGUCGGCUAAUACCGCAUACGAUUGGAGUGUCUAGGUGGGAUUGGCUAGUUGGUGAGGUACUGGCUAACCAAGGCGACGAUACCUAGCUGGUCUGAGAGGAGGAGCAGCCACACUGGAACGGAGACACGGUCCAGACUCCUACGGGAGGCAGCAGUGGGGAAUAUUGGACAAGGGGGGAAACCCUAAUGCAGCCAUGCCGCGUGUGUGAAGAAGGCCUUCGGGUUGUAAAGCACGUUAAGCGAGGAGGCGUUACUCACAGAAGAAGCACCGGCUAACUCCGUGCCAGCAGCCGCGGUAAUUC